rnacentral:lncRNA from 1 species
CUCGAAUGAUUAAAGUAAUCGAUUGCUCACAAGAGGCCCAUGUACCCUCCAAAUUCCAGAUAAUAAACUCACGAACUUUUUGGUUCGAAAGUGGGUAGUCCCCGUAUUCCCUUGGGCUUGGGAAGUUUUUGAUUCUUGGAAUUGGGAUUUUUUAAGGGUAAUUUGGGUAUUUUGGGGUUAAUGGGAAGUUUUAGGAUUUUUUGGAAUUUUUUGAAGAUUUUCUAAUUUUUGAGGUUGUUUUGAACAUUUUAAAUUUUAAGGAAGGGUAAUUUAGACAUGGAAUCACCCCCACGUCAGUAUAUGCAGCUUGGGCUGCCCCCCUCUCAAUACUAGGUCGACAAAAUUUUGGCUGCAUCAACUCUGCAUGAAGUCUCUUUAAAGAUGCAUGUAAAAUGGGCUGACUCGAUGUCGAAAACAUCCCAGGUUGGAUCACGAUUGAGGUUUGAAGGGCCCGAAGAAAUGACUAGGACCCAACCCCUUGCCACUCCAAACUAAACUUCUAAGGGUAUUCUAGAUAUUUUGGUGUUCUCGGGUAUAUGGGAAUUUUUGAGGAUUUUUCGAAUUUCUAAGGGUGUUUCGGGGAUUUUGAUAGAGUUGAGGGGUAGUUUGGGGACUAUGGGAUGGAUGCAGGGUAAUUUGAGAAGUUCAAAUUUUCUCUGUCUAGGACUAGGGUUUCUCUCUCUAGGUUAGGGCUUAAUAUUCUGACCUUUAAAAAUUAAGGUUAAGAGGGUGUUUAUAGACAUGGGAAAGUAUGGGCAGAAUACUAAAGUUGGUUGGUAAAAAAUCAAAAGCAUGGCGCAAAGGGAGUGGAUUAUUAGACAUAAAUUGGGGCUAAAAAUGACUAAAACAGACACUUAAACUUUGGAAUUUUCAAUGAUUUGUCCUUGAGGGGUUUUUCUUAUUCAUUCACCAUCAAAACCAUCCAACUCGACUAUUUCCCUUAUUUCAGCCAAAUUUCUUCUGUAAAAUUGUGGAGCAAUCAACCACGAUCAUUUUGUAACAAAUUUGAGAGAAAACUGUUCUCGAUUCCCCAAGUUCCACUCAUUUUAAGUUUCAUUUUUCCAUUUUUGAUAAAAAUUGCAUACUUAUUUAUAUACCUCAUCAUUGUGCUCAAAUUUAGCAGCUAUUUGACGAUCAAUUUAUAGAUUCUUGUGGACGAUGCCGAGACCGAUGUUUGGUGAGAAUUUCUGCUCAAGAUGAUGCUAGAUUGGAUAUAUAUUGUUAUUUUGUUUGUUACUAUUUUUAGUAAUUAUAGUCUCAUAGAUUUAGGUAAAUUCUCACUAGGAUU